ACUCCCUGUCGAUUACGUAAUGUUUAGUUCCAUCCGAUCCCACUUCCAGUUUGCAGUUGUUGUGCCCUGUCUCGUGUCAGUGGCAUUCCUUGGUAUAGUAUGAAAAGAGGUUACCUUCUUGUUCGGGCUCUUUUUGGAUCCUCCCUAAGGAAGAAAAGGAAUUUGAACCAGAUGAAGGAUCCUUUAGACGUCUGGACCUUAAGUUAUCAGAGAAGCAAGGCUUGCAGACCUUCCGUGAAGUCCUUUGUCUGUCCGACAGCGUGGGAGAAGCAGUGAUUGUUAAGGGAGAAGAUGUUCUGCAGGACCUUGCUGCUCAUCAUCCUGACUUUCAUGGUAUGGUCCGAGAAAUUGACCACCAGAGAUCAGGGCGGUUCCAAGAUUAUAAGUUUGGAAAUACCGAACGAAACCGACCUUUCUAGAGCAAACAUUAAGUGUUUUCGCCUGAAAGAUGGUGAGGUUUUCUUUGUAGUGCAAAACGGUGAACGAGCGCCAUCUUCAAACAAGUAUAAGGGACGAGUUAACUGCACAAGAAACGGUGGCAGACUGGAUAUUGAUCUGUCAAACUUCACAAACGAUGACGAGGGAAAAUACAGGUGUCAUUUUUUUAAAUCGUUAGGUAAGUUGACUCACUGGAACUUUAUUGUUUAGGUUCAUUCACUCAAGCUAUUUAAUUAAAGAAAAAACAUGCACUAACACAGAUUUCCCCCAAUAGAGAAUUUUGUCCUCACCCUACCAACACCCGGUCCUCUAGCUGCUGAAGGUGAGCCAACAUGGUGAAUAUCUAACAAUAUGUCAUACUCUGUCCAUUAUAUUCACAUAAGAAUCUGAUUUCUAAGAACUACUGUACCACAUAUCAAUAAUGCAACUUUGACAAGAAUUGUCAAUUGAGUACAGCGUUAGUUCGGACAGGCCACAAAGUCAAACUUAGCUCUCAAUUCCAGCUCCCUCAGCUGAUCACAGCUGAACCCAUAUGUUCCCUGUUUAUCUGCUUGAGUUGUGACAUAAACUGAUUUUAAUUCUCAUGACGCUGAAAAAAUAGACUCUGAUCACAAAGAUGAAAUUGAAGGAGGGGGAGACUUCCAGCCUUUUGUGCUUCAUGCAAUGUAUGUAUGAUAAAUAUUAUGUUGUCACAUUUUGGGAUUGAUGAAAUGAGAAACUAUACAUGUACCAAUAUGAAACCUUAGUGUGCUGAGUCAACUCAGUUAAAUUCUACUGAUUAGGUUCAUUUCAUUAAGUUAUUUAACUAAAAGGGAAAACAUGUAAAUGUGACUGUAACACUAACACAAAUUUCCCCCAUAGAAAGUAAUACUGUGGAUGUGCCCCUCACCACACCAACAUCUGGACCAGCAGCUGCUGACGGUGAGCCAACACAGUGUAGAAAUAAUGUUCAAGUACAACACAGCCACCAGUGGGUCCAACAAAGUAUUGGAUUGGAGUUGUAGUAUUAGUAUUAGUAUUAGUAGCUGUAGUAGUUUAUUUCAAUAGAGACAAACUACCCAAAAGAGACCAACUACUCCACUGGUGGAGAGAUCAACAUGUAGAAGAUCAAGCCCAGCCUGAAGGCACUGAGCUACAGAAUCUGAAUGGAGAAGUUCCCCCAUCUGAAACUGGAAAUGGAAGAAGCCCGACUGAAGAGAGAGAUGACUCGUCCAUAGCUGAGACCAAGGUCUGAUGCAGCUCAAACAAGAAUGUCACCUCUUUUCUCAUCACAUUCCCACUGCAGUGUUGGUUUUGAAGCAGUGGGCAUGUGUCAGUUUUGGUGUUACAUUUACUGUACUGUAAGCUGUGAUCAGAAAACCAGUUCUGAGAAACCCGCUGUACACUGACACACAGCACCUAAAACAGUAACGAGCUGCUAAAGAAAGUGAAGAAUCUAACCAGACACCCUCAUCCAGUCCAACAUUACAGAACACAAUUGUUAACAAGCCUUUUUUCUUACCUCAAAUUUAGCUCACUCAGUAGAGCUGCAGAGUUUCAUACGUGUAUGAAUUAGCAGCAAAGCACACUCAGUGUGGGACUCUUCCGGUUGGUGAAGUUUCUAAUAAUGAAGUUUCUCCUUGCCAGUGUAGUUGUUGUAGUAGGUGGUCAUGGUGGGAAUUCUAAAUUUGCACUAUAUGAAAAGGCUCCUGAAAUAAUAUCUGACUAUGGUUUGGUCCUACAUAAAUAAAACUGAAUUUAAUUAAUUCAUUUUCUAAUUAUGCACAUCUGCCUUAAAGGACCAGUAUGUAAGAUUUAGUGGCAUCUAGCACUGUAGUUGCAGAUUGCAACUCACUCGCUUCAUCCUCCGUUUAAAAAGUGUUGAAACUACGGUGGCUGUGAAAAACACAAACGGCCCUAUCAAGUGUCAGUGUUUAGUUUGUCCGUUCUGGGCUACUGUAGAAGCGUUGUGGUUCAACAUGUAAUUCUAAUGGAACAAGAACAUCCUGUGGAUAUUAUAAUCCAUUUGUGCCAUUAGAUCCUCUUGAAUGUUACACACUGAGCCUUUUAGCAAUGUUUACACUAUUUUUGAAUAUGAAGUUUUUAAUAGGAAGCCUGUGAUGCUCCAAAGUAUAAUGUGAAAACAUUAUUGACUAUUUUUAUAAAAGUUCAAUAAGAAGAAGGAUGAGUUCUCUUUUUUCUUCAUUUAGUAAUUUUUAAUUGGAUGAUUAGAUUAAAUAAAAUGUGUAUAUUUUUACAAUCUUCAAUAA